UACGUAGGGUGCAAGCGUUAAUCGGAAUUACUGGGCGUAAAGCGUGCGCAGGCGGCUUUGCAAGACAGAUGUGAAAUCCCCGGGCUUAACCUGGGAACUGCAUUUGUGACUGCAUGGCUGGAGUGCGGUAGAGGGGGAUGGAAUUCCGCGUGUAGCAGUGAAAUGCGUAGAUAUGCGGAGGAACACCGAUGGCGAAGGCAGUCCGCUGGGCAUGCACUGACGCUCAUGCACGAAAGCGUGGGGAGCAAACAGG
rnacentral:rRNA from 1 species